GUUGAUGUUAUAUUAAUAGAUAGGUAUAGUAGUAAAUCUAGCCAUUACCAUUAUAGAACUAUAUAUGAGUAUUCAGACUAUAACAAUUCUAAUGAAGAUCUCUCACUUUUGACAGUUAGAGGAUUCCAGAAUAAUGAUAUAAAAUUUAGUCAAUCAUGUUAUUCGAACUGGAUACAAGACUGGUAGUACCGGCCAAAACUCAUACAUGUACUGAGUAUGUUCCAAUAAUUUUUUUUUCAUAAUAUGCUUUUAAAAUAAUUAUUUUAUCUUUCUUAUUCAAAGUAAUAUAUGGAAGUAUUUCAAUAAAAAACAUUUGAAAAUAGAGAAUAUUAUUGUUGUUGUUUUAAUAUGCGUAGUAACAGUAGUUAUUAUGGAAUAUGUAAGACAGCAUAUUUGUUUUAUUUUGAAUUAUAAUAGAUGACAAUCCAUAAGUUUAGCUUAUUUUACAUAAUGUACAAAUUUUUCUUCUCUAAUUUUUUGUUUUUGAGAAGUCUUUACUAGUUCCCUUGACGAGAUUAUUAAAGGAAUAAAAAUGAAACAAAAUUUACUAAAAAUAAUAUUAAUAUACAAUGUUUUUGUGAUUUUUGAUGCAGCAAUUGUUUUACAUGUUCUGGGUUGUGUACUUUUGAAACUAACUAUAUAUCUGUAUUACUAUAUUUUUCUGUUUAGUUACUGUCUAAAAAGUGAUUUGAACUUUAAUUACCUAAUUUACAAUGACCUAGCUCAUCUUAAUGGUUACAUUAGGCUAAUUUAGACAAGUUCUGCUAAUCUAGUAACUACCAUGUUCAUCUCCUGAUUUUAGGUAUAGUUUCCAUUAACUUUCUCCCAUCAUUAAGGCCUUAUUUACUUGAGUGGAUUUGAGGGAGACUAAUUGAAAGGACUUAAGAGGAUUUGAUGAUAAUUUUUUUUUUGUUUAUUUAAAUAGAUUUGUCAAUCUGUCAUAUAAAUUAAAUCCUACACUAAUUCUCAUAUAUUUUACUUCCAAAUCUACUCUCUGUUACCUCCAAAUCUAUUCAAAUAAAUAAAAAAAAAAAAUACCUUCAAAUCUUCUCAAUCACUUUUCCCCAAAUCCACUCAAGGAAACAAGGCUUAAGAGAUGCCAACCACCACUGUGAUCUUGCUUAAUAAAAUAACUGGCAAAGACAUGUUUUGGGAAACACUUUUUUAAGUUUGUGUUUAACUCAUAUUGGCCAUUAUUGAAAAUAGUAUAUUAAAAGAACUAUUCAAAUCAUGGAACCUUUCUAUUUUGCCCAUGUUUAACUAAUUUAUCUGUUGGCUAGUUAGCAUUACCGAAUAACUGAAUCUCAUACUGUAGAUAUCAACUCUGCUUUUUCUUCUGCAACUAAAUUUUCUCCUCGGUUGAUGCAUGAAAUGAGCUAAUCCAACCUAUAAUUAAUUGACCCUUUCGGAAUUGUUUUUCUUAUCACCUUCUAACUGUUUUUUGUAAGAUAUCCAGAAGCUAGACAAUUGUAUAUGCUUGUUGAUUAGUAGGUUUAAUCAUUUUGAAGUAUGACUCUCCCACAAAGAUUAUAUUCUACAAUUGUUCGUAACACAUGUUCUACAUAGCAAAUAUAGUUAUUUGUAAUGUAAGAAAAUAUCCCACACAAGCUAACAUGAAAAACCGAAAAAUAAAAGUCUCCAUAAUCCAAAGUGAGGAAAUUCAAGAAAAAAAAAAUAUGAGGAAACAGGCUUAUUUUUGUGUAUUUAUUUUCUCUGUUCCUUUGUAUUCAGGUUAGAGUAUCCUUUAUAACUUAUCAAAUUUGAUAUCAAAUGAAUGCACCAAACUCAACGACAACAUGUGCAUAACCAUGCAUGUUGAUUAUGGUUUCACUUACUUGGUUGUGAGUAAUGCUAAUUAAAUUAACUAG
rnacentral:lncRNA from 1 species